rnacentral:rRNA from 1 species
UACGGAGGGUGCAAGCGUUAUCCGGAUUCACUGGGUUUAAAGGGUGCGUAGGUGGGCAGGUAAGUCAGUGGUGAAAUCUUUGGGCUUAACCCGAAAACUGCCGUUGAUACUAUCUGUCUUGAAUAUAGUGGAGGUGAGCGGAAUAUGUCAUGUAGCGGUGAAAUGCUUAGAUAUGACAUAGAACACCCAUUGCGAAGGCAGCUCGCUACACUAUUAUUGACACUGAGGCACGAAAGCGUGGGGAUCAAACAGG